GGCACGUGCGUGAACACCUCCAGCAGGAUCUGAAUCGGCAGCAGCUCAUUGAUGCUGAGCAGGGCCAUGGCGCGGGUGGGGGCGAGGUGGGGGCCUGGGCCCCUUCUCC